CAACUUGUCAUCCAAUGUUUUCAAAUCGCAGGAGUAAACAUUUACGUGACUGUGACUUCAUUUGUUUUUAUUUCGUUCGGAGAAAUAUUAUAUCAGGGAAAGUGGACAUUAAAAAUGCGUUGCUCAGUGAAAGGCUGCCCGAAUACGAGUGAAAAUGUUCGCAUUAGCUUUUAUCGUAUUCCUUCGGAAACGCAUUUACAGACGCGCUGGUCGAUUUUUGCGGAGACGACAAACUAGUUCCGAAUAAGGAUUCGCGUAUCUGUGGAGAUUAUUUUUAAAGCGUCUUAAUGCAGUGGACUGUAAAAACUGCUACUUAAUCCGCGUAUCUGUGGAGAUUAUUUUUAAAGCGUCUUAAUGCAGUGGACUGUAAAAACUGCUACUUAAUCCCGCUGCGCGAUACCAAAGCAGCCUUUAUGCGGAUUGCCCAGCGUAAGAAACCAAAUUCCCCCCGUGGGCGCGAUGCAGACUGCCUCCAUUGCAGUGAUGCGCGGGGAUUUUCCAUUCGCAUGGAACUUCACAUCACUGUGGCAGAUUAAGGGACUCGUUUCAUUGGAGACAAAACACAACACACGCAACAUAACUAUGUACAUUGUAUUUACUCAAUACUUUAGAAAUAUACAUGAAAUUAUACAGAGUUAUAAAUUAUAGACGCACUUAAAUUUCUUCUUAAAUUCUGCUUCAAAUUUGCUGCUGUUGCGUACACUCUGCUGUCUUUA